rnacentral:misc_RNA from 1 species
GACGAAGAACGUAGCGAAAUGCGAUAAGUAGUGUGAAUUGCAGAAUUCAGUGAAUCAUCGAAUCUUUGAACGCACAUUGCGCCCCUUGGUAUUCCAUGGGGCAUGCCUGUUCGAGCGUCAUUUGUACCCUCAAGCUUUGCUUGGUGUUGGGCGUCUUGUCGUAUUACGACUCGCCUUAAAUACAUUGGCAGCCGGCACUUUGGCCUAGGAGCGCAGCACAUUUUGCGAUCGUAGCCCGUUGUACUGGCGUCCAUCAAGAACAUUUACCACGUUUGACCUCGGAUCAGGUAGGGAUACCCGCUGAACUUAAGCAUAUCAAUAAGCGGAGGA